AUCAUGAAAAAGGGGGGCGACAGGUAACAUUAGACACAUUCUCCUUGAAUUCUAUCAGAAUAUUAACAUGUAGAACCUGCUUAGGCUGUUUUCUUUCGGGACACAAACUCUCAUAUAUUACUGGACCCAGUUUUCUGGUCAGGACAUAUGGACCCUGCCAUUUGGCCAACAACUUGCUUGUACCUGAUGGUGGUAGUAGUAGAAAGUUCUGUCCUGGUUUGAAGUCCCUUUCCCUGGCAUGUGUGUUGUACAUGUGUUGUCUUUGCUGGGCAGCAGAUAGGUUUUCUUUAGCCAGAGUCCUAAAGUUUUCCAACUUGUCCCACAUCUGUAAGAUGGGCUAGUUCCUCUGCUAUCCACCCUUCCUUGAGCAUGUCCAGGGGGCCACGAACUUGCCUGCCAAACAAAAGUUCAGAAGGUGAGGAACUGGUUGAACACUGAGGGACCUCUCUGUAGGUGAAAAGAAGAAAAGGGAUCCAUUUAUCCCAAUCCCUCCCAGAUUCAUGAACAAACUUUUUAAUCAUGUUUUCAAGGUAGCAUUAAACCGUUCUACAAGACUAUAAGUUUUAGGGUGAAAUUGUGUAGUUCUGAUUUCCUUAAUGCCUAGAUGUUUAUACAACAGCUUCAUCACUUUAGCCAUAAAGUUUGUUCCAUGAUCAGUGAUAAUUUCAGAUGGAACUCCCACCCAUGAAAUCAAGUCAACCAAACAUCUCACAAUGUGUUUAACUUGGAGUGAAUGCAAGGGGUAGACCUCUGGAUAUUGAGUAGCAUAGACACAGAUCACCAAUGCAAAUCGGUGACCCGAACUACUCUUCACCAAUGGACCACCAAAGUGUACUCACCUUACUGCUCUUGGCUCUCACCACAGGAUAUGACACGUCCCUCAUAUAAAACAGGUCCAUCACAGCCUCCACCGCUAUCAUAGCUUCCAAUUCCACAUCACCUACUUGAGCUUCAACAAGAGCUUCCUCCGCUUCAGGGAACAGGGUACUCCGGUUUCCUCACCCGGUCCAAAGACAUGCAUGCGUUGCAGAUUGUGGAACCCAGAAGGCGCAUUUCUAUGAGAUGACUUUAUGUUUUUCUAACAUUUGAAGAUGGAUAUACUGCAAGAAUUUGUAAGACCUGCGACAUACUUACAGGAUUUGCCUGGAGUUGCCAAUUACUACUGUAGCUUUGAGGGACUCAUUCCAGGAACUCGAGUUCUUGCAAGAUGGUCAGACAACAAAUUUUAUGAUGCCACUGUAGAUCACAUUGGGUACUGUGACCAAAAGCUGGACCCGAGAAAGGAUGCAAAGAAGGACAUAAAAAGAAAUUAUGCACCUGCUGAAUCAUUUUAUAACCAGAAUCGGGUCGCUUCUGCACCUGCUGAACAUGGUCCUUUCUCUGCACUAACCCAGCCUCCGUCUCCAGGAUUGCCACCAACCCAACAUCAAUCUGUGCAAUUACCAUGCCCUGUUAAGCCUUUUAAUCCACAGACCAUGACACCAUCUGAGUAUUGUAAUCUAGACCAGCCAGGUUUACUAGAUUUAGAUGAGCAUCAAAGACAAACCAUUACACAUAAUUCAACCCCAAAAGAAACAUUUUUGGGGCUUCUGUAUAACCCGUCUAUACCUCACCCCUCAGCUGAAGUUACAAUUCAGGAUGGCCAGCUUGGAUUAGAGCCUGAGGAGGAGUAUGAAGAACCCACAGUCAGAUCACAGAACGCAUCCUAUGAAAAUGAACAAUGGGAGCCAUUUGAAACAUGCAAGCUGGAGAUCUUGAACACCUACAGGCACUCGGAGACUUUAUAGAUAAGAUGGAAGACUACAAAUCAUGUGAAAGUGGAGUGCUGAUGCCUCAAACCAGACCUGGCCAACAAGAACUUUACCCAGACAGUGGUCUGCUCUUGUCCUCUACCAAACUAGCAGCUAUUCACUAAGAGUCAAAGAAGGACUGUCUUCAUCUUUUCCACCUACUCAUGAAGAAUGUUCAAACUCUGUAGUGUUUGGAAAGCAUGGCAAAGUCCCUGAAGGCAAGACAAUUUUGGAUAAAAGUAAAGUAAAUGGAAUACUAACUUAUGUCAUGAGCUGCGGCAAAUGUCAUGGAUGGAAACCAGUUGAAAAGUCAAAGCUGAAGAAAGCCCUUAAACAAGUGUCGCAUGAGAUCAACUUAAAUGUUUAUGUAAUUGUAGUGUUACAUCAAUGAUGUUGUCAUUUACUGGUCUUUUAUUUUGCUGUUUCUGUAUUUAAGUAUCUAUAUGUAGCUGUGCUGCACUUUUUUUUGGAAAUGUUGCUUAUAAAGUGUAAUAUCUAAAUAUCUUAGUUUGAUAUUGUAGAAAACUUGUUCCUCUAAGAUUAAAAUCUGUCUUUACAGAGAUUGCAAAGUAUAAACAUAACUCAUGUGCAGUAUCUAACACUUUAAUUUCUUUUAAUUUUUUUUAUUUGAAGUGCCUAGUAAAAGAUUUCCAUAUUGUAUUUUCUUGCCAUUGUAUUAAGCAUGUAAAAUGAAUCUUGAAACCUACAUGAGUAAAGAAAAUGUUAACCUCAUACUGAGCACAGUAAAAGCAGCCUAACGUCUGAGCAAUAAAACUUUCUGCAAGAC